UACAGAGGGUGCGAGCGUUAAUCGGAAUUACUGGGCGUAAAGCGCGCGUAGGCGGUUUGUUAAGUCGGAUGUGAAAUCCCCGGGCUCAACCUGGGAAUUGCAUUCGAUACUGGCAAGCUAGAGUAUGGGAGAGGAAGGUAGAAUUCCAGGUGUAGCGGUGAAAUGCGUAGAGAUCUGGAGGAAUACCGAUGGCGAAGGCAGCCUUCUGGCCUAAUACUGACGCUGAGGUGCGAAAGCAUGGGGAGCAAACAGG
rnacentral:rRNA from 3 species